rnacentral:rRNA from 1 species
AGAGUUUGAUCCUGGCUCAGGACGAACGCUGGCGGCGUGCCUAACACAUGCAAGUCGAACGGAGAUACGAUUUCGGUUGUAUCUUAGUGGCGAACGGGUGAGUAACGCGUGAGCAACCUGACUCUUAGAGGGGGAUAACACUCGGAAACGGGUGCUAAUACCGCAUAAGACCACGACAUGGCAUCAUGACGAGGUCAAAGGAGCAAUCCGCUGAGAGAGGGGCUCGCGUCCCAUUAGAUAGAUGGCGGGGUAACGGCCCACCAUGUCAGCGAUGGGUAGCCGAGCUGAGAGGCUGAUCGGCCACACUGGAACUGAGACACGGUCCAGACUCCUACGGGAGGCAGCAGUGGGGAAUAUUGGGCAAUGGGCGCAAGCCUGACCCAGCAACGCCGCGUGAGGGAAGAAGGCUUUCGGGUUGUAAACCUCUGUCCUUGGUGACGAAAAAAAUGACGGUAGCCAAGGAGGAAGCCCCGGCUAACUACGUGCCAGCAGCCGCGGUAAUACGUAGGGGGCGAGCGUUGUCCAGAAUUACUGGGCGUAAAGGGUGGGUAGGUGGCCUUUUAAGUUGGAUGUGAAAUACCCGGGCUUAACCUGGGGGGUGCAUCUAAUACUGGGAGGCUAGAGUGCAGGAGAGGAAAGCGGAAUUCCUAGUGUAGCGGUGAAAUGCGUAGAUAUUAGGAGGAACACCAGUGGCGAAGGCGGCUUUCUGGACUGUAACUGACACUGAGGCACGAAAGCGUGGGGAGCAAACAGGAUUAGAUACCCUGGUAGUCCACGCGGUAAACGAUGAAUACUAGGUGUAGGGGGUAUCAACUCCCCCUGUGCCGGAGCUAACGCAAUAAGUAUUCCGCCUGGGGAGUACGGCCGCAAGGUUGAAACUCAAAUGAAUUGACGG